GCCUUCGUGGUGUAGUGGUCAGCACGCUCGACGCGUAACCGAGAGGUCCGUGGUUCGAUUCCCGGCGAAGGCA
rfam:Stegodyphus mimosarum contig31948, whole genome shotgun sequence.